CUGAGGUAGUGUACCCUGACCAGUGCCCGUCUGCAGGAGAUGUGCAGCCCUGAGCUGGAACCACCUGUCCUAUGGGAGGAUCACGUGCUCCUCCUUUGGUCUGUCUGUGUCUCUCAGCUUUGCCCCAAGAUCUUGUCUCCUUUCUUCUCACCUGUUUAUCUAUUUGCUGGUUCUGUGAUCUUUCUUCUUUCUUCCUGAACAUAGCCUUUUCCAGAAUCUCCCUACCCUGUUGUUCCAGGAAGGACAUCUCCCCUUCUUUACUCUGAUCGGGGAGUGUCUUAUAGAUGCACCCUAGGUGGGGUUGCCUUGUACUAAGAGCCUGGUUCCUUGAGCUAAGAAAGCCCUCCCUAUCUGGGACUUUCUGCGAGAUGGGCCUUUCUUCCUUUAUACUGUGAUGGUCCCUCUUGCCCUUGCGCCAAAGAGGGACCCCAAUUCUCACAAUCUACUUGCCCAAUGCUGUUGCCUGGGCUUUCCUGCCCAUGCUAAGGUUGAGGCCUCGUGGGGGCUGGUGCCAUGCAGUCUGUCUCUCUUGCCCAGUGCUGGGCCAUCCCUGGAGAAGAGACCUGGGUUCCCUAAGACGUGACCAGAGCUGGGCCCCGCCAGCAGGCGAGGGAAUCCCAAGGCAGGUGCUGGGCGUGGAGGCCACGGGGGCAUAGGCUACCAAGGAGACAGAGAACUGACCCUCUCGGGGGCACUGUCCCUCCCUCAUUCACACACCGCACGUCACCCUGCUUGGCCCCGGAAGAUGGCUGGUUAGCCAGAGACGGGUAAGAUUCCUCAGGAAAGGAACAACCUAAGACAGGCACAGUCGCAGAGGGGCCAUCAGGAGAGAACUUGGGGGCCAACAGAGGUGGGGCACAGACCCUCACCCCCCCAACUUUACAGGGGCCUGAACCCUCACCCCUUCUGAGGGAGGUCUCCUGCCCCCAUGGCUGCUUUGCUUCCCACGCCCAGCUCAGAUUGGGACCCAGGUAGCAGACAGAGACCUGGCCGAUAGCAGCUGCUCACUCACCACAGCAAGGACUUGUUUCCCAUUUCUAUCUUGGACCAAAGGAAUGGGGCAGCUGAAGGAAAGGGCUGUGUCAAGGUGUCCCUCUCCCUUUUUUCCCCUUGUUUUUCUAAAUGCUUUCUUGCCUUGUAGUUCUUUCCCUUUUUCUUUGCUUCUUCUUUCCUUUACCUUUCGAUUCCCUAUAGCUCCCACAUCUCUUCCUUGUCCCAUCCGACCUCUUUCUCUUCUCCUUUUCCUUUCCUCUCUUCUUCCUUUGCCUCUCCUGUUCCUGAGCCCUCCCUGCUCAUCUCCCUGCCCCAACAUCCUGUGCCAUCCCUGUGGUGUGUUCUGGUCUUGGCCAAGGCCAGACCUGGCAGAACUGAUGGAUACCUGGUGAGGCAGCGGAGCCCCUGGGCUCCCACCCCAUUCCCUCCUCCCGGGGCUGCACAGGUGAGUAGGUGGAAGGUAAGGGGGGCAGCGAGGGGAAGGAGAUCCUAGGCUUAAAGCCUGGGCCGGGAGUGCUGCUCUUUGUGGCACUCGGGGUCAGGCAGAGAGAGAAGAGAUAGCCUUCAAGGCAGUCCAUGUCUGGGUGCCCCAGGUGAGGUGGGGAGUGGGGACCAUUUUUUCCUGAGCACAGCCUGGGGAGGAGUGGGGGGAUGAGCAGGAUGGAAUGGGCUGUCCCUCGGGUUUGGUUUAUUUGCUCCUAGAGCAGCCCAGGAGGCACAGUGGCUCUGAAGCAUCACUCACUUCUGUCCCGUUCUUGACAGCGCCAUUCGUGAACGAUUUCCCAAGUUAUUACGCCUGGUAA